ACAUGCCUAAAACAUAGUGUUAAUGCAUCGAAUACCAUUAGAACUCUACAGUUAAGCAUGCUCGGGCUAGAGUAGUACUGAGAUGAGUGACCACCUAAGAAGUACUAGUGUUUUGCAUGCC
rfam:Picea glauca, whole genome shotgun sequence.